UUAUUGUCUAGUUUGCAUUACUAGGCCUACCAUACCGAGAUCUAAUUUAAGUGGCCUUUCAACUCGUAGACCCCCAGAUCUCUUUUCUAUUGCCUCUUCAAAAGACAGGUGGUUGUCGCCUAAGUCAGAUAUGCUACAAGCACCGUCUAUGAUAUUGAAAUCCAACAUGGAACCAUAAGACAACUGUGUUGUAAUCUGCACCACAAAAGUUAUGUAUGAAGUCUUUUGCAUGGUUGUUUUUCUUUCUGCUGUUAACCAAGUGCAAAGCGGCAAUAAAGAUUUGUUGCUCGGCUCUGGUGAUAUUCUAAGAAUCAACACAACAGUUCCUGAAGCGAAACUGAUCAAGGUCCAACAAGGUGUCCUUUCGAAGCAAAUCACUCCCUUGGAUGUUACACUCAAGGACGGAAUGGCAACACAGUGGCCGUAUAAAUAUGCAGAGCUUGUGUUUAGUGGGAACGUAGUCUUUGAGCAAGGGUCCGUUGUGAAUGUGUCUGGUAAAUAUGGAUUGUCUAUCCAGUCUCUUACUGGGGACAUCACUAUUAGAAGUAACAUCAGUAUGACAUGUGCUGUUAAUGCUUCUGCGAUGGACAUGUGCCUUGGUGGAUAUUCUCGUAGGAUCAUAGAAUGCGUGGCCCAAUUCGUAGCGGUUAUAGUGGCAGGAGCAGGUCCCGGUUAUGUAUCAGAUGAGAGUUGUGAUGUAAACGCACAUUAUCUGUCAUCACAAGGUGCGGUAGGACAUGGAGGCAAGGGGGCAGGUGCACAAAAAGCGGGCUCUGACUUUUAUGGCUGGUUCUAUGAAAGGGAAAAUAUAAAGACAAUGAUUGGAGGAAGUUCAGGGUGGCACUUUAAAGACAGCUAUAAGAUGCCCAGGUCUGGGGGUGGAGCUGUAGAAAUUCAAGCUGAUAAUGGAACCAUAAGCUUGUCUUCCAAAAUAUCGGCCAACGCGCAGCAUGUUUCCUCAACAAGUGAAACACACAGUGGAAGCUCAGGAGGAACAAUUCGUCUCAAGGCACGAAAGGUGAUUCUUCAACCUAACAGUCGCCUAGAAGUAGACGGUUCACCUGGAGGAUUAGCCAGUGCUAUCAAUACGGUAUCAGAUCGGUUUCUGCGUGCUGGCGGGGCAGGUGGAGUUGUUCAGAUCGUAGCAGCUUCGGGUAAUAUAGAACAACCAGAGGCCAUCUCGAUGAAACCUGGCAGCAGUAUUGGAACAAACUUAAGAUCUGAUCCUGGAUUCCUCUUGAUUAGAGAUUAUUCUGGCAAGUUCUACAAGACUUGGAAUUCAAGUUCGUCAUUUCCAAAUGUUGCCUAUUCGUGGGGUGAAGCAACGUCACAUGCUGUUAAAUACUGCCUGCCCAAUAGCCUGGGAACCCAUCGAACACUGGCACUUGACCAAGAUCCAAUAAAUAAACAAAUUCGACAGAUACAGCUACGAAGUUCCUGCUUAAAGAACCAAUCUGGUUUAAUCAAUCCCUUGGAGCUUGCAAACUACUUUGCAGGCUUGGUCACAGACAUUUAUUACGUGGUCAUCAACCAAUCACUUACCAGAAUCCAGCUCGAUGGAUGUGUUGAAGCNCUGACUGAACUGAAGGAUACCUACAUGAUCCUGGCCAAUACGUCACAAGUAAUCUCUCUCGGUGAUAAUUGGGAUUUCUGGGAUUUGUUUAACAAUGUUUCGCGGAUAGUUGAUGAGAUUAUUGAUCCACGCAAUAAACAAAUAUGGAACGAUUCAAAACUGAUUACUAUGCUUGAUCUCAUGGACGAAAUAAGCGAAAUAGCAGCAGGAAAAAUAUUACAAUCCUCGCCGGGUAUCGUUGCCAGACUCGGUUAUCUAGGCACAAAUAUGGCUAUUCAGAUCGUAAAAUAUGCCCAAGCAGAUUUCCAAGGCUUCUACUCAACCAUAAGCACAAGACAAGUUACAGACACAACCAUUCAAGACUCUGUUAUCCUACGUCGUGAAACUAUCGCAACACAUGUUACCAAUACAGAUAAAGUGUCAGUCGUGAUAAAAGUCUACAAAGACGUUGAGGGCCUUUUUCCAAGAGAUGUUGACAGCUCCAUAAGUGAAGACCAUAUUACACAGAAUAUGUCUCAUCUGGUAGCAAUAACAAUACUGAUCAAUAACAAGAACAUUAGGAUUCUAUCUGCUCCAAUACUUAUAAACUUUGCCCUCCAGAAUACCGCAUUAAGAGAAAGCACUCCGCAUUGUGUAUACUGGAACAAGUCAUCAAAUGCUUGGAAAAAAGACGGCGUAGAGUUUAUUUCAUCCAAUAACACGCAUAUUCAGUGUUCCACCAUUCACCUUACGACCUUUGCUGUCCUCUUCUCAACUACCAACGUCAAGUUUCCAGACCACCACGCCUUUGCCCUCGACCUAUUGACUUACAUAUGUUGUGGUCUAUCUAUUGCUGCACUGUCUAUUACCUUGAUUAUAUUUUACUCAAUCGAAGCACUCUCGUCUGAUCGCCAUCGCAUCCAUAUGCACCUCUCUUUAUCCAUCUUGUUAUCACAGCUUCUCUUCCUGAUCGGUAUAGAUGCCACGACACACAAGGUUCUGUGCGGCAUCGUAGCUGGGAUCCUGCACUACUUGUUCCUAGCCUCAUUCUCCUGGAUGUGUGUUGAAGGCUUUCAUUUGUACAUGAAGAUCGUCAGGGUCUAUGGAACUGAGAGCAUGAGAAUGAUGUAUUACUAUAUCUUUGGAUGGGGUUUCCCAUUGAUUUACGUUGGAGGCGCUGCUUCAAUAAACUCAUUUGGAUAUGGGACAAAUUUAGCGUGUUGGUUGUCACUUAAAAAUAGUUUUAUCUGGGUGUUCAUUGGACCAGUGGUUAUCGUUGCAUUGAUUAACCUGAUCAUCUUGGUGAUGGUCAUCAAGGUUGUGGUUACCUCAGCUGAUAUGCAGAAGUCCCAACGUGCUAGGAUAAUGUGUGAAAGGUGUGUCAGUGUUGUUACCGUUGCUAGGGGUAACAUGGGUGUUCGGUCUGCUGAUCGUACAAGACAACUCGAUUGUCUUUAAGUACAUUUUCACGGUGACAAACUCACUCCAGGGUUUUUUCAUCUUUUCAUUUCACUGUGUUGGUAACAGCGAGGUGAGAGCAGCGCUAAAGAGAUUUCGCGCGAGAACGUUUGAUUUCAAUAGUGCGGUUUUCUUGCCCU
rnacentral:misc_RNA from 1 species